rnacentral:tRNA from 2 species
GCCGGGAUGGCGGAACUUGGCAGACGCGCACGCUUGAGGGGCGUGUGGGGUCACCCAUGGGGGUUCAAAUCCCCCUCCCGGCACCA